rnacentral:rRNA from 1 species
GACGAACGCUGGCGGCGUGCUUAACACAUGCAAGUCGAGCGGAGCGGCGGACGGGUGAGUAAUGCCUAGGAAUCUGCCUGGUAGUGGGGGAUAACGUCCGGAAACGGGCGCUAAUACCGCAUACUAUCAGUUGAGCCUGGUUCGGAUUAGCUAGUUGGUGGGGUAAAGGCCUACCAAGGCGACGAUCCGUAACUGGUCUGAGAGGAUGAUCAGUCACACUGGAACUGAGACACGGUCCAGACUCCUACGGGAGGCAGCAGUGGGGAAUCUUCCGCAAUGGACGAAAGUCUGACGGAGCAACGCCGCGUGAGUGAUGACGGCCUUCGGGUUGUAAAGCUCUGUUAAUCGGGACGCGGUACCGGAAUAGAAAGCCACGGCUAACUACGUGCCAGCACCGCGGUAAUUC